rnacentral:rRNA from 1 species
CAGUAGCCGCGGUAAUACGAAGGGUGCAAGCGUUAAUCGGAAUUACUGGGCGUAAAGCGUGCGUAGGCGGUUUGUUAAGUCUGUUGUGAAAUCCCCGGGCUCAACCUGGGAAUGGCAGUGGAUACUGGCUCGCUAGAGUGUGUCAGAGGAUGGUGGAAUUCCCGGUGUAGCGGUGAAAUGCGUAGAGAUCGGGAGGAACAUCAGUGGCGAAGGCGGCCAUCUGGGACAACACUGACGCUGAGGCACGAAAGCGUGGGGAGCAAACAGGAUUAGAUACCCCAGUAGUCCCUGUCUCUUAUAC